GACUUGCAAAAUCACGUUCAUUCUGGCUGUCAUCUUUUCCAGCCGAGUAGCUUGUUAGCUAGGCCAUGCUAACGCUAAAAGAUUAGUUUAGCUUGGUUAUAUAACAGGGUCCAACUUUCAACUAGCACCGCGAAGCAUCUUGAGGAACUGGACAGAAUGACUGAACCCAUAAAAGUUCAACAGCAGAGGGCAGCAACAGACAGAUGAAGAGUGAGGUUUUCAGGAGGCCAUUGCCAGGAUAUGGACCAUAAACUGUGAUGUGGAUACAGGCCCAUGCAGUGUUGUCAACGGCGACAGGAGAAUACACCAAACAAGUCCAUCACGGCCAAAGUCACACACUGGGAGCGCGAUGACAUUAAGGAAAUAAUAGUUUAACUCGGAGUGAAGAGGUGAGUGACCCAGUUCUGCAACGCGCCCGUCUCCCAGGACCCACAGCAGAGAAGGAGAGAGAGAAGGAGAGUCUGUCCUUGAUCAGAGCCGGAACUGGACUAAACACAAAAUACUCACACUCUGUAAUGGGGUUCUCGGGGUGUGGGUUUUAUGAAAUUUGGGCAGUAUUAAAGAAUGAUGAUAUUAUGUGGAGGAUAAUUGAAAGAUGUGGGGGAUAACUUUAGCCAAUAUGAGGUUUUACAAUGUGGAAUUGACAAAUUAAAAAAAAAAGCCUAAUGAACAAAACAACUGUAGUUAGAGGGGUCAUUUACACACAUUUUUUGACUGUUCAAAUGUUCAUUUAAGAAGAUUUUUAAUUGUCAAAUAAUGGAGAUCAGGAUUGUGUCAUCAUAGCAUAACAUUUUGCAUUACUUUCAGUUUCACUAUUAGGGAGAGUGCAUAUUAAUGAGAAUCUACAACAUGGUAGUGUAAAUAUGACAGAUUAUAGCAAAAAUGCUAAUUUCUAUCUGUAAUCCCCAGGCAGGUGACACCACAAAUUUAACAGCAAAAACAAUGACAAUAGCGACAGUGACAGUUAUACACUAAACAUGUCCACAAGUCUGGUUUUCCUUCAGCCACUGUUUGAAGAGGGAUUUGAAAGUGUCCAGUGUUGGAGUCUCUCUUAUUGAUAAUGAGAGACUGUUCCAGAACUUAGUGCCUCUGAUUGAGACUUACUUUGUCUGAAUGUGGUGCAUCUGUGCGGGAGCUCACAGUUCCCCCGGGCCUUGGCCCUAGUUCCCAUCCCACUGAUAGUCUUUGUUUUAAUAAAAUCCUGUAACCGAGGGGGGGUAAGUCCAUACAAAACUUACAGCCAUAUUUAAAAUGAACAAAACUAUUAAAAUUAAGCAAGUUGUACUUGCUUAUUUUUACAGCAAUUGAUUGAACUGGUUUGAGUGUUGUGCCAGAAGCAAGUGACCAGGUGAUUAUGCAAUACUCUAUAUGAGACAGAAUCAUGGAGUAUAAAAAUAUUCGUGCCACAUAUAGAGUCAAAACUUAAACUUGCCAUUCAUUCAAAAGGAGCUUAAUGGGAUGUACUAUUGCUCUUUUGUCAAACUGUUUUUUUAUAUUUAUUCACAUUAGGUGAGUUUUGGGCCUAGUGUACAGUGUAGUUGUUUGAUGACAGCUAUGGAGUUACCUUUUCUUGCAUCUACACAUUUCAAAUGAGAAAGUAAAAUUAUUAAGUAAUUAUUAUUAAGCCUAAGCUUCUCAACUUCACUUAGCUCCAUGACAGUAGAUAUGUUGACUGUAAGGCCAUGGAGAUAAGCAAAAAAAAGUUUCAUAAUGCACCUUACAAUAUAUAAUGCAUAACAUAAAAUAUAGAGAUGACAAAAGAUAACAUAAAUUUCAUUUAAUAGCAACUUUUAAUCAUUUGAAGGGUUGAAUUUUAUAAUAAUGUUUUAUGGAAUAUUUCCAAGG